AUUCCAGCUCCAAUAGCGUAUAUUAAAGUUGUUGCAGUUAAAAAGCUCGUAGUUGGAUUUCUGGCAGGAGCGACCGGUCACACACUCUGUGUGUGAACUUGUGUUGUCUCUGGCCAUCCUUGGGGAGAUCCUGUUUGGCAUAAAGUUGUCGGGCAGGGGAUACCCAUCGUUUACUGUGAAAAAAUUAGAGUGUUUAAAGCAGGCUUAUGCCGUUGAAUAUAUUAGCAUGGAAUAAUAAGAUAGGACUUCGGAACUAUUUUGUUGGUUUGCGUUACGAAGUAAUGAUUAAUAGGGACAGUUGGGGGUAUUCGUAUUUCGUUGUCAGAGGUGAAAUUCUUGGAUUUCCGAAAGACGAACUACUGCGAAAGCAUUUACCAAGGAUGUUUUCAUUG
rnacentral:rRNA from 1 species